rnacentral:rRNA from 1 species
GACAGAGGAUGCAAGCGUUAUCCGGAAUGAUUGGGCGUAAAGCGUCUGUAGGUGGCUUUUCAAGUCCGCCGUCAAAUCCCAGGGCUCAACCCUGGACAGGCGGUGGAAACUACCAAGCUGGAGUACGGUAGGGGCAGAGGGAAUUUCCGGUGGAGCGGUGAAAUGCAUUGAGAUCGGAAAGAAACACCAACGCGAAAAGCACUCUGCUGGGCCCGACACUGACACUGAGAGCGAA